UCGAGUUAGGGUUCCUCUCACGGGCCCGAUCUCCCAACCCUGUGUCUACCACACCUUGUCGUUGCUUCGGCGGACCGGUUUCCACCGCCGGGGGCGCAUGCCCCUGGAGAGCGUCCGCCGAUGGCCCAACCACACAACUCUUUGUACGAAACCAUGUCGUCUGAAAACACUUGAUAUAAUCAACACA
rnacentral:misc_RNA from 1 species